rnacentral:lncRNA from 1 species
CGAGGACCCCAACGAAGGAGUGAUUUGAACCCAAGUCAAAAGGGUGCCCUACAAGGCUAGUUUGAACAGAACCCCUACCCUGAUGUGACUCCCAGAGAACAACUGACCAGAGAAAUUGGCACUCCAGAAUUUAGAAUACAGAUGUGGUUUCGAAACCAGAGAACACAACACCUCAGACAGAGUCUACUGGGGUCUGGAUUGGGGUCGAUUUCCUGGAAUUGCUAUCAGGGAAGAACUGGCUGCACAAACAGGCCUCUCAGAGUCCAGAACUCAGAUAUGGUUUCAUAACCAAAGAGCUCGGCACUGUGGCCAGAGUUGUAGA